rnacentral:rRNA from 1 species
AUUCUAGAGCUAAUACGUGCCAUAAACGCCGGGCAACCGGUGGUGCUAAUUAGAUAACAACACCAAUAUAUGGUGAUUCAUAAUUUUCUUUCUGAUCGCUGAUAACUCGGCGACGCAUCGUUCAAAUUUCUGACCUAUCAACUUUAGAUGGUAAGGUAGUGUCUUACCAUGGUGGCAACGGGUAACGGACCGUGGGUGCGGGACUCCGGAGAGGGAGCCUGAGAAACGGCUACCACAUCCAAGGAAGGCAGCAGGCGCGCAAAUUACCCAAUCCAGACUCUGGGAGGUAGUGACAAGAAAUAUCAAUAGGGGAUCUUAUGGGUCUUCUAAUUGGAAUGAGAACAAGCUAAACAGCUUAUCGAGAAUCCAGCAGAGGGCAAGUCUGGUGCCAGCAGCCGCGGUAAUUCCAGCUCUGUAAGCGUAUACCAAAGUUGUUGCAGUUAAAACGCUCGUAGUCGGAUUUUGGUAGUUCCGGAUGUGUGCGCGUCGUGCGCGCACUUCGCAGGGGCUGCUUUUGUGGGUAUGCGUGGCAUGACGCGACUUUAUUGU